rnacentral:tRNA from 1 species
GCCGGAGUGGUGGAAUGGUAGACACGCACGACUCAAAAUCGUGUGAGGCAACUCAUGGGGGUUCAAGUCCCCCCUCCGGCACCG